rnacentral:rRNA from 1 species
UAAGGAAUAUUGGUCAAUGGACGCAAGUCUGAACCAGCCAUGCCGCGUGAAGGAUGAAGGUCCUCUGGAUUGUAAACUUCUUUUAUCUGGGACGAAAACGGGAUUUUUAUCUCAAUUGACGGUACCAGAGGAAUAAGCACCGGCUAACUCCGUGCCAGCAGCCGCGGUAAUACGGAGGGCGCGAGCGUUAUCCGGAUUUACUGGGUUUAAAGGGUGCGUAGGUGGGCUUAUAAGUCAGUGGUGAAAUCUCCGAGCUUAACUUGGAAACUGCCGUUGAUACUAUAGGCCUUGAAUUAUCUGGAGGUAAGCGGAAUAUGUCAUGUAGCGGUGAAAUGCUUAGAUAUGACAUAGAACACCAAUUGCGAAGGCAGCUUACUACAUAUAAAUUGACGCUGAGGCACGAAAGCGUGGGGAUCAAACA